rnacentral:rRNA from 1 species
GACGAACGCUGGCGGCGUGCUUAACACAUGCAAGUCGAACGGAAAGGCCCUGCUUUUGUGGGGUGCUCGAGUGGCGAACGGGGGAGUAACACGUGAGUAACCUGCCCUUGUCUUUGGGAUAACUUCAGGAAACUGGGGCUCAUACCGCAUAGGAGCUCCUGCUGCAUGGUGGGGGUUGGAAAGUUUCGGCGGUUGGGGCUGGUCUCGCGGCUUAUCAGCUUGUUGGUGGGGUAGUGGCUUACCAAGGCUUUGAAGGGUAGCCGGCCUGAGAGGGUGACCGGCCACAAUGGUACUGAGAGACGGCCCAGUCGGCUACGGGAGGCAGCAGGGGGGAAUAUUGCACAAUGGGCGGAAGCCUGAGGCAGCAACGCCGCGUGCGGAAUGACGGCCUUCGGGUUGUAAACCGCUGUCGCCUGUGACGAAGCGGGAGUGACGGUAAUGGGUAAAGAAGCACCGGCUAACUACGUG